UUAUAUACUCGAGUCGUAAUCAAAGGGAAUGUACUUAGAACAGUAUAGGUGUUGUUGUUUUUUUUUAUCUUUCUCUUAUCUUUCUGUUAAUUUUAAGAGCCCAGUGCUUGAUAUGUCGAACUUUGAGGAUUUUAAUUUCAAUAUCCUUGCGGUAGUAACACCUAUUGCAUAACAGCAUUUCAAACAUUUGAGUCCAUUAAGUGUCGUGCUAGCGCCCAUUUAUGACCCUUGACCAAAAGGAAGGAUUUUACACUGAGGCCUGGAUUAUAAUAAGCUCUUCAAAAGUACUCUGUCAGGAGGUCCCGAUCAACUAGAUAUAGUCUACAUUGAGAAUAAAAAAGGUUCUGAAAAAAUGUCAACAAGAGCAGAACUGUAUAAAAAUUUAACAUGUACUUGUAUCACUUACUUCAGGCGUCACGGAAGAGGAAUUAAGGCCUGUCAAUGUCACGUGGCAAGAAUCGUAUGCCAGAUGUGAAAAAAUCCAUAAAACGCCCAAGGAUAACUCAAGCGUUACCCUAAACAAAGAUCCAUCACCCACUACUAAAAAUGGAAAACAACAAAGACAUUGACAAUAGGUUUAUUUCUAUAGAUCUAGAUUUUUUUUAAUCACUAUAAGAUAUUCUUAACUCUUCAAUGAAGAGCUCUUUUUUAAUACUUUUUUUUUCAUAUCAUCUAUUGAAAUAAUAUACAUUUUAUAUCAUUGAACUUCAUUUGUAAAAGCACCCAAUCUGUACCCCCACAAUAAUGUAACUAUAACUAUUUUAUAUGUCAUAUAUAUAUUAUGUAAUACAUAUAGUAAUCUGAUCCCAUUGUCUGUUGGAACACUAUAAAUAUUGUUUACCUAUAUUACGCAAUCAGUAUAGAAAGAACAGAAGUAAGCCACUUUUAUGGCUUAAUUUAUUCAAAUUUUGAUGGUCAGACAUUUCAACAAUUAAGAUCCUGGAUCUGUAGUUAACUCAAAAUCCUGUAACCGUGGAGAGAGAAUAAAUAGCCGAAUGAGAUGUCACUGAAGGCAGACCUUUACAAAAAUUGUGUAACGGAAGAGGAGGUGCGACCAGCUCAUGUUACCUGGCAAGAGGCAUAUAAAGAGUGUGAUCGAAAGUCAAACUUCAAAACAAAUUUACGCCAAUCCAAUGCAUCCCAAGAAGAUGUGCAGUAUACAUCCCAACGGUCCAAUCAAGCUAACACAAAAUGAGCUUAAAAAACAAGAGGCAGCGCUACGAUAUUGUAAAUGUUUAUUAAUGUUUCAAAGUCUAUUUUGAAAUUGUUUUAAAAUAAAGAUUUCUAAAUUGAAA